rfam:Daphnia magna strain Xinb3 scaffold01581, whole genome shotgun sequence.
GAAUCGGCCCUUUUAAGGGCCACAAAUUGCUUUAAGGAGAAAAGG